CACUUUGAGAGAUAACCGCUCUUGAUCAUUUCCUGUACUGGACUAGCAUGGUUGUCCGUUUGCAGUGCUUUGCGUUGACUAUUAUGUGGGGGAACGCAACUGAGUACAUCUAAUCACUUCAUAACCACGGCUGCUUUGGCACAGUUCUAACCAUAUACAGUCAACCCUCGAUUUAUGAACCUUCGAUUUAUGAAUUCCCUCGUUUUAUGAACACUAGCACGAGGAACCUUUACCACGAGGAACUUUUUACUUGCAUUUUCCCCUCGUUUUAUGAACCUCGAUAUUCGAAUGAUGAAUGGAAUUUCUGGGAACCAACUAGGAGUUCCCAGCGUUUUUGCCAUCAAUUUAUGACCGGAUCGUUCCGAGGCCAACAGAAACCUUCGAAGAGAUUAUUCGUGCCCUUAUGAAUGGCGCCUGAACAGACAAAACGUUUUCCAGGAAUUGCAUCCCCAGUUCUUAACCCCUCGGAAUCCGAACAACAAACGGUUUUUGCAGAAGUGUUCCUGGCCGCAAUUGAUGAAUAAGGUGUCCGGUGUCACCCGGAGAUUAAUAAACAUAGGUUAAAAAUCCCAGCGGAAAUCCAGGACCACUUGAGUGCGAAUGUGCUGACAUAUCUUUCCAAGAUUGACACAGCGGAAGGCAUGGUCCAAAGGAAAAUUAAACAAUAUAUUGCAUUAUAAACACAAUCCCAUCUCUGAAAUACUGUUCCAUUUGCUCGAUAGUACUCACUGAACGGAAUUUUCGAUUUAUGAAUCCCUCGAUUUAUGAACAAUUUUUCGGGGAACCGAGGGUGUUCAUAAAUCCAGGGAUCACUGUACUACGUUUGUGAUACGAUAAGACGUCUGUUUGCUCCUCCAUAAAAAUAUCUCGACUCAAAGAUGACUCUGGAAAACGACGGCAUUGGAAAAAAAAGACUCCUGUAAUAGCAUCCAUUUAUCACCAGAAAAGCGCAAGAGCCGAAAAGCGUAUUUUCAGCGUCAACGUCAACGUUUUAGAAGCCUAACCUUAAAUGCGUAACUCGCAACUCAUUUUUCACACGAGACAAUUUAUGUUCUGAGGCUGGAACACAUGUCUAGGACAAACACAUACGAGUUCAUUAUUUCUUUCAUCGUUUUUCACAUUCUUUCAAACUACACAUGGCUGUAUCGGAUGAAGUGAGGUUUCUACUAAAACUGUUUCUGAGGACUUCAAACAAACAAGCUCUUUUAUUCAUUUUCUCCAGGAAUGUUUCAACGAUCUCUUCGUGGACACAAUGACGCCUCUACGUUUCGCUGUUGUCUUCGUCCUCCUCUUUGGUGGAUUUGUCGCCAGUGAAGCUGCACCUGAAGGACACGAGCUUGAACGUCGUGACGUUGUCGUUGAGCUCUGCGCUUGUCUUCAUGGUGUUAUCGAUUGCCCUAGCGAAAGUUGCACACUCGCGAGCGAGUGUACGGAAUGCGCCGAUCUCUCGGUAUGCCUUUGUUAUGGGGGUAGCACCUGCCCUGGAGACAGUUGCACAGCGGAGAGCGGCUGUUCGAAAUGCACCCAUACCAUUGAGUAAACAACAUGGCUGACUGGCAUCCCUCAACUACGAAAUGAUCAAUUGCACGUAUAUGAAAUAAGAGACCCUGGUAUUCUCUUUUACCAAUAUGUUCAUGGGUGGCGGGAACUUUUGAGGGCAAUAAAUUGUACUAAGCAGCA